AGUGCCGCAUCCGAUGGAAAUUUACCCAGGAGCCAGCGACCUUCACACGCUGGGGACGAAGAUCGAGGGCUUGUAGGGAAAUCCUGCCCUGGCUCACACACUGCUGUGCUGCCUCCACGUCACCACCCAGGCAGAGCACACCCUGGAAAAGCAGACCAGGAGAUGAGCUCCAAGACAGAGUGUGCUGCCAGGACAGGCUCCAUGGCAUGAAACAGGGUACUGCUCUCCACAGUAUGCAAGGAUGUCUGCCCAGUCCUCGGGGAUUACUUGCCUCAGGUAAUUGCUCCUCAUCUGGCUCCUCCCCUGCUGCUUUGGACGCACAGACUUGAAAUGAGACAGCUGAGUGCAGCUGACCCAUACCUGGGGCUACCACAACAGGAGACAGCAGGCAGCAAAGGUGACUUCAUAACUCCCUGCUUUUAGGGCUGUGUCUUGGGUCAAGGUAAAGCUUCCCCAGUGGCUGCUUCAGUGCGUGCCCUGUAGCCAUUUUCACAUUACUUCAGGUCCAUAUUGGAAGCAGAAUGCAGGAAUACUCUGGCUUCACCUUUGUCAGAAGGUCUCAUGUUUGGGAUACCACCAGAACAUCUCAUCCUCUCACCCACAGACUGGGGAAUAAUCAAUGGCUUUCCCUGCAAGUUCUCAGCCUCUCCCUGAAAGACAAUGAGAAGUAGGGGAGGAUGUGCAAUAAUAUCAGAAGACAAAGGAUAUAAGGCAGUUGUAGUUGAAAACAGAGGGCAACUACUUGCAUCGAGCUCAAAGAUGGGAAAAUAAAGACAAAGUAGCUGGUGCUGCAAUGAUGGGGAUGCUGGCUAGAUGGUGCUAGCACAUGCUCCUGUGCUUUUGUCAUGAACUAGUACAACAUUAUUAUUGCUUUUCCUUUAGGCAGAGGUUUCAUUUCCAUUGCAAGAGCUGGAGAAACUACUGUCUGUUAGCGAUAUUGCUAAUAGAGAACUGGUAGUCCCCAGUGGAGUUCUUGUCCCUGUCAAAGAUGAACGGCUUCUGGAAUAUGAGGAAGAUAAUGCUCGCUUCGCAGCGCUGGGGAAUGAUAAGCAGCCGUCUCAACCCAGUACUCUGGUGUUGGCUAAACAUGACACAAAACAUGAUAUCUGCCUGACGUCAUCCCUGAAAUCACCCCCUCUUGUGCUGUGCUGCAGAAACUCGUUCUUAAUCCUCUGGACUAUACUGGAUUAAGCUCUCCUGGCUGUGCUAAUAGAGCCGGCUCCAAUCACCAAGGCAACAGCAGGCUCCGCAGCCCCCGCAAGGAGCGUAUCCCUGUGGUGAGGUGAAGAUCCCGGCUCCAGCACACCCAUCCUGCAAUCCACUUUCAUACUUUUCAUUUGUACGCUGUGCUUUUUGUUUGGCGCUGCAUACUGCUUGUGGCCGAGCGUCCGUGCGGCUCUUCAGAAGAUCCAGGACCAGAGCCCAGCCACCACUAGAGGGAACAGAAGCUCACAAUGAAUGAAGAUUGCUCUCAGAAUUAAUGCAGUCAAUGAGAAAACACUAGCAGACGUUCUCCAUUUGAGCUGGAUAUUAAAUAUAGACAUCUCCUGAUUUGGUGCACUGGUUUCCAAAGGCUUGCUCCUGAUUCAUACUGCUACAGUCAAGAGGAGAAGAAGGACUCCACAUUAUUGUUCACAGAAAUGAAUCCUGAAUGUCUCUUGAUCUGAGAAGCAGCUACAGGGAAAUUUGUAGUAGAAACAGUCCCAUUACUGCCUUUUGUCCAUAUGUCUUAUCUUAAUCCUGUUAAGUGCAACUAAUGUAUUUCCUAAGAAAUACAGUUUCUUAGCUUUAGGCCAAAACUCUUUGGUCCUGCCUACUUCUUAUGCACAAGUUUUCCUCUAAUUCCUGUCGAUGUUACCCUGCCUGGCAGAGACUGAACCAUUUCCCCUCAUUCCCACAAGCAAAUCCCAUGCAACCCUGUGCAGCAGGUAUCAAGAACCUGCUGGUCACACUGCAGUGAGGAACUCAAUCCAAAGGCCCUCAGCUGAGCAGCAGCCAUAGCGCAGCUCCAAAGCUAGCUCUUGUAUUUUCUGGCCUCUCUUUUGCCCUGGAGGAAGAGGAAAACCUUGAUUUAAGUAUUGCUACAGUUUCCAUGGCUGCCUGGCACAGAAAUCAAUGGAAGGGCAUGAAAUCUAGUCCAGUCCCUGUCAUGGCAUUUUUCAGAUGGGAAGUUGCCUUUACCCUUCCCUCCCACCCUCAGGGCCAGUCCAGCUACCCCCAUUGUCUGCCAAGCAAGACAGCAAAAUUCUUACCCAGCUGCAAGAAUUUCACCCACUGACUGGCUUAGAUGUGCACGUACACAAGUGUUACUGAUGCACUCAUGGCCUGUCUUCCUCUGUCCUCAUCUUCAAAUGUCAGUCUCAUAGAGGUUCUGGGGCUGACUCACUCCAAGCACAAACUCUGGCCUGCCCAUGACCUGCAUGUCUGAGCAAUCCUCUUCGGCCAGCUUUGUUUCAGACCUUGGCCGUGGGCAGGAAUGGUGUGUCUGGGAAUAAACCUCAACUCCUUUGUGAUUGACAAGGAGGCCUCUGGGUAUCCUUUAACCUAACACUGCUGCUGAAAUGGGCUGAUGCCACAAAAAAUAGCAGUAGAAGCAACCCUGAAGUCAGGGAAAUGUCAGCCUGAAGUUUCAGAUCUUCUUUAGAGGCAGAAUGACCAUAUGCCUCUGUCUGGAUUCCAGUUUAGGCUUGGAGUACAAACCAUGAAAAACCAGCAGAGUAAAUGAAUCCCAGACUCGGAAUUGGGAUUCUCCCUAAUCUUUUCAGACAGGUGCUUCAGGAUUUUUCAUUACCCAAAAAAGAGCAUUAUGGCCUCAUCCCAUAGAACUGUAAAUACUCUUAUCAAAUGUUCAGUUCUUGACUUGAUCACCAUGGGAAACCUGCUUCUAAAAGAAAAGGUGUUUUCACAGCACACAAGGCUAAGAAAUGAGAUUCUUCUGUAUAGCAAUUACUAGCACCUUAGAAAAAUCUGUCCUGUCCAGACUUCAGUCAUUUCUAGGAGGUUUUAUAAUACUUUGCACCCUCAGAUGUCACUGGGAGCUUUGCUCUUGAUUUCUGUGGGGAUAGAGUUUAUUUUAAGGACAUUUCAUCUCGUCAGAAACCAAAAGCACUUCAUACACACUGUGCACAUGGGCAUAACCUAGCCAUUCAGGGAAAUGCUCUCUCUGUAGGACAACCACGGGCUGACAAGACAUCUACAUGCAUAUAAAAAUCACCAUGUCAAGGGCUUAAUUUUUCUGAAAACCUUUGCCUCCAGGUCCUAUGCAAAUUAAGCAAUUCACCUUCACUUCCCCCUGCUGGAAAAUAGGCUGGAUCGAGAGAGGACUUAAAAACACGACUUGACAAAGUGUGCAACUCUUUAGAGAAAUCAGGGCCCCAUCAUGGGACAGGAGAUGUGCACUCACCACUCUUGCCUGUGUUCAUAUCUUAACAUCCAUUUGAGAAGUUUGAUUUUGCUCAACUAACAAAAAAUGGCUGAAGCAUUUGAAUGAAGCAAAGGCCAAACAAAAAAUGAACUGUGAGGUCGGCAGCUCUUAAGCCAACCCUCUCUCCCUGCAGCCAGUCUGAUGCCAAGAUAUUGCCAUGCCUUUGGCAGGAAGUCACACCUGAAGAAAGGAAAAGUGAAACCAUGAAGCCAUACAUUACCUUAGCACAACCACACUUAUGCAGGUGGAAAACUGACAGGCUGUACAUUCUCCGUCCUUGGAGAUAUCCAGUACUGGAUAAUGCUGUGAGCAAUCUGGUCAGAUCUUCAGCCAACCCUGAUCUGAACAAGAGGUUGAUCUGGAAACCUCCAGAGGUGUCUUCCAACCUGAACUACGCUGUGCCCGUUGUAACAUAAGGAUGGUGUGGUGUUUCUGCCCACACUUAGCAGAACAGCAACUUCUGGCCUUUAUUUCCUGGCCAGAGCCAAGUAUAUCUCUACUGAAGAAAAGUCUUCAAUUUUUCCUGCUUUACCAGAAAGACUUACUGGGUAUGAGUACAGAAGCAGCUCAAUCGCACAGUGCAAGAUUUAUCCACAGGCACUUCCAGUUAGCUUAAAUGGUGGACUCCUAAACUAAUGAGUGCUGACACUUCACAUUGCACUGUGUGGACAUAAAAUGUGGCUGGGCAUUUAAGUCAUGAGCAGAAAUUUUUCUUAAUUUUGUGAUAUUCCCUCAAAGGCAAUUAUGAAGUACAAGACAGACUAUUCCCUAGUGCCUCUCAUGCCUCACCUUAUGAAUAACCCAAACAUAUAACUUUGCUUCCAGAGAUUUUUAAGAGUUCUGCUGAUUCUUUCUUUGUUCUUUCCAUCUCUAUCUUUCCAUUUACUAGCAAGUAUUUUCUCUUCAUUUAUGCAUGUAAACCACACAAUAACACCAAGGUUAUGCACUUUCAAGGCUACUCUUCCACACAACCUUUUCUCAUGAUGAGCAGUGGUUUUAAAUGUAAUAAAGCUGAGAAGAGAUACAUGGAGCACACUGACCUAAUAAAGUUGUCAGAGCUCUCAAUGCAAGAAAAGAACCUAGAAUGCAGCACAAAGGAAAGGAUACAUUAUUCUGUGGAUGUAGUUGUCAAACCAGGGGAAUUUGAUGCGAUUAGAAAAGCUUAAGGCAGUAAUAGAUAUGUGGGCACAGUUACUGCAGGUAUCUAGUGUGGUGUCAGGCACACCGACAAAAUACAAUAGUGCUCAUACAAACAUUGCUUGCCAUGUGGGUUGGUAUAAGGCUCAGUAAACUCUGUAGUGCAAAGGCAAAUAUGUUUGAAGGUUGAGUGCAUGCUCAGAAACUUCAUGGCUCAAGUAUAUAAUGGCUAGAUAGCAAAAUCAUGUUUCAGGAGCUCUCAGUUAUACUUCCCAUGGUGAUGAGCAGGGGCUGUUCUGGCUCAGCCUCCCAGCGAGGUUAAAUUAAAGGUAGACAAUUUGUAGUGGUCUUUGCAACUGCUUGCAAGAACACAGGAAGGGAGAAAAGUACACCAUGGAUCAGAACUGAUUAUGGCAGUACAGAACUACUGUGAAAAGAAGGGCAUCACCUUAUCCUUAAGGACUAGGGAGACCAGCUUUUGUGAAUGUCAGAGUAAAAAAAGCUGUGCCUUGACAGAAUGGUGCAGAAUGGGUUAAGCAAAUACAUUUUUGGUUAUAUGCAAAUUCUAUCAGAAUGAUAUCUGAGCCAAGGCCAAGUCAAACAUGCCUGCCACACUCACUGAAAUAGUUCACCACCCAGCUGAACUGUCGGACUAUCAGGACCUUCAUUACCUAAUGGUGUUCUAUUUGUUUGAACAGAUAGAAUGACCGCAGAGGCUGGGUGUCAGAUAUUGUCAUGCUCUCCAUAUCUCAAUUUUUUGUUUGCAAUCCCAGAUAUUUCUCUGGGGAAGGCAGCCUUCCAGUGAGCUGUCAGUGCUCUCACCUCUGUACAGUAGAGCAGGAGCUGCGCCUAAUUAGUUGAAAAAUGUAACAACAAGGAUGACCUCCAGUCACCCCCUGCUUAAAAGACAACGAAGCAAGAUCUGUAAAUGCCAUGCAAAGAGGGACUUGGCAACAGCAGCUGCCAAUCACACUUCGAGAAAAUUUAUGAGAAAGGUGAAAAACUUGUAGCAUGAGAAGGCAGAUCUGACCUAGCUUUUGUCCACCUGGCUGAGACACUCACAGCAACAAACACAGGGAGUCUUAGACAGCAGCACAAACCAGUGGCCACACAAACAGGCAGGGACCCUUGUGGCUCUCUACUUGGCAGUCCUGGCACAGGGGGAUAAGUCCCAGAAGGAGGGGAAGAACAGAGACAGAGCAGCAGGGUCUUUUCUGAGGCUGAGCAGACAGACCUCAGUCGGUACAGCCACAGAAAGCCAAAUUUAUCAUCCACCCACAGACUCUGGGACUGCCGGCUUGAGCACCCUCAUUAGCAGCUUCAGUUCUCCUAGGCAGCAAAGAGGGGUGGCAUGUAGUGAGGAAGGAGGGUGAAGCAGCCUGGGAGCUGGGAGGACACAAGGACAACAUGGCAGGGUGAGCCAAGGAGUUGGGAUACCACCAUAGGACUGUGCUAUUAGUGUAAAUACCCAGGAGCUACUUCAGGAGCAGGACAAUGUGUCCUGUAACGACAGGGUUAAUUUUAAGUUUGCAGAGAGCUUCUGGGACUUUUUCACUUCCACUGGCAAAUCUCUGAGGCUGGCAGUUGCUAAUUACAAUAAAUGAGGUGACAGUCACAUGAGGAAUGAUGGAUGGCUGAGCAGAGCUGAAAAUCCAGGAGGUCAGAUUACAAUAAAUUAGGGUGGCAGGGGGCAGAAGCUCCUUCCCCAGAUCUUCUCUUUCUUUCUCCCCACUUCUUCCCCCCACCAUCUGCAGCAUCUCAAAAGCAAAACUAUAAAGAUAAAUCAUUCUCAUGGCUAGAAUGCAAAGCGGAUGGAGGGCUCCAGGAGCUGGGUUUCAGUGUCACUCCAGCUAUCGAAAUUCACAAAGCACAUGGCCAAUAGGGACCAAGUAAGCAUCUCAUUUAAUUUCCCACAUAACAUGGGCUGCCAGACAGCACCUGACUUUAGUGACUGUUAAAGCAAAAUCAUUAUGAACUCUUAAGAUUUUAUUUUGAUACAAAGAAGCCUACACAAAGAAACCACAAAACUGGAAUAAAAAAACAUGAGCUCUGAGUGUUCCUACUCAGCAUUGACUUUGCAUGGGCCUGAAAGGUCAUGCAGAGAUAGGAUCCUUUUCAUGUAAAAAUGAGAUACUUCUAAGUCACACCAUCAGCUCUUUCCCCCCUUAUGUAGCUCAGAAAAAAAAAUGGCUUUGGUUCAGCCCAUUCCCAUGACCAGCAAGUGAAUUACAGCUACUGCCAUUCUCACAGAAAAGAUCAGUUCAUCUCUGACCUCAGACUUACCCCAUGGGUCUGUGCAGAGUUAAUAUGAGUGAUUAGUUCAGAUUUUCCCCUCCAGCAUCAUUUCACAGUGAUGCUAUGAACUAUUGGUCACAGACUAUGCUGGAGAAAGCCACUGAGAACUUUCUAACAAUACCAGAACUCUCUGAAGGUGAAAACCACUCCCCAUCCACAAUGGAUGGUUUCCAUGAAAAGCAUCGCUGAUCUCUUAACACCACUCAGUAGGACACAUACAGUCACACCCCUGGAAAAUGUCCCACAUAUUGAGCCCCAGGUCAGUAGUCCACGGAUUUUGAAAAUGCUGUAUCUGUCUGCUGUGGCCAUUUCUAAAAGGUGUCACAUGGAUUAAACUGAAAUAAAAGUA